rnacentral:rRNA from 1 species
AUUGAACGCUGGCGGCAGGCUUAACACAUGCAAGUCGAGCGGGGUGAUGGUGCUUGCACUAUCACUUAGCGGCGGACGGGUGAGUAAUGCUUAGGAAUCUGCCUAUUAGUGGGGGACAACAUCUCGAAAGGGAUGCUAAUACCGCAUACGUCCUACGGGAGAAAGCAGGGGAUCACUUGUGACCUUGCGCUAAUAGAUGAGCCUAAGUCGGAUUAGCUAGUUGGUGGGGUAAAGGCCUACCAAGGCGACGAUCUGUAGCGGGUCUGAGAGGAUGAUCCGCCACACUGGGGCUGAGACACGGCCCAGACUCCUACGGGAGGCAGCAGUGGGGAAUAUUGGACAAUGGGGGGAACCCUGAUCCAGCCAUGCCGCGUGUGUGAAGAAGGCCUUAUGGUUGUAAAGCACUUUAAGCGAGGAGGAGGCUCUUUUGGUUAAUACCCAAGAUGAGUGGACGUUACUCGCAGAAUAAGCACCGGCUAACUCUGUGCCAGCAGCAGCCGCCG